CCGAGGAGCCGUCCCAACUAGUUCGUCCUCAGGCAGGAAUACCACUUCUCACACUCUCGCCCUGCUUCUAGCAUUCCAGUUCCAAGUUUCCAAGCCAGCCAGCGCUCCAAACCUAGGUCUCCUGACUUACCUACCUACCGCCGGUGAUCUUUAUCUGGGAAAGGAAGCGUGUUGCCAAGACUGGUCGAUUCCUCUUGUUGAUUUGUUUGCCGCGCUUGCUUUCCACUUUCUUCUUGGAAAGGACCGAGGGAACUAGCAGUCUGGACUCUGGAGCUGGAGUGACAAGGAAGAUCUGCGAAACGAGGCUACACGAUGACAGUUAUAGAUUUCAUAGAAGUGAGUGAUGAUUUUAUUGACUUGACCAGCGACGAGGAGACUGUUCAGCAGGAUAACAUUGCAACUCAGCCCCAGGCGACGUUGCUGGAUAGGCAGGCUGUGUUUGUCCUAGCUGAUGAAGGAAAGCAAGAUGGGCAGGCUGCAUUUGUCUCUGCUGGUGAAGAAAGUCAAGAAGCUACUGAAUCUGGAAAUGCUUCGGUGGCUACCACAUCUCUCUCAGUUAUGGAAAAGGCGCCUCUGGAUAUGGCUGAAUCACAGAAUUGUCCUAACUCCCCAACAUCAGCUCCACUUGCCAGUAU